GACGAACGCUGGCGGCGUGCCUAAUACAUGCAAGUUGAGCGAUGAAGAUUGGUGCUUGCACCAAUUUGCAGAGCAGCGAACGGGUGAGUAACGCGUGGGGAAUCUGCCUUUGAGCGGGGGACAACAUUUGGAAACGAAUGCUAAUACCGCAUAAUAACUUUAAACAUAAGUUUUAAGUUUGAAAGAUGCAAUUGCAUCACUCAAAGAUGAUCCCGCGUUGUAUUAGCUAGUUGGUGAGGUAAAGGCUCACCAAGGCGAUGAUACAUAGCCGACCUGAGAGGGUGAUCGGCCACAUUGGGACUGAGACACGGCCCAAACUCCUACGGGAGGCAGCAGUAGGGAAUCUUCGGCAAUGGACGAAAGUCUGACCGAGCAACGCCGCGUGAGUGAAGAAGGUUUUCGGAUCGUAAAACUCUGUUGGUAGAGAAGAACGUUGGUGAGAGUGGAAAGCUCAUCAAGUGACGGUAACUACCCAGAAAGGGACGGCUAACUACGUG
rnacentral:rRNA from 1 species